UGGUUGAUAUAUGCAUUCUGUAUCCCAGGC
rnacentral:piRNA from 1 species